AACGAACGCUGGCGGCAGGCUUAAUACAUGCAAGUCGAGCGGGCACUUCGGUGUCAGCGGCGCACGGGUGCGUAACGCGUGGGAACAUGCCUUUAGGUACGGAACAACCAAGGGAAACUUUGGCUAAUACCGUAUAAUAUCUCUGGAUCAAAGAUUUAUCGCCUAAAGAUUGGCCCGCGUUAGAUUAGGUAGUUGGUGGGGUAAUGGCCUACCAAGCCGACGAUCUAUAGGGGGUCUGAGAGGAUGAUCCCCCACACUGGAACUGAGACACGGUCCAGACUCCUACGGGAGGCAGCAGUAAGGAAUAUUGGACAAUGGGCGAAAGCCUGAUCCAGCCAUGACGCGUGAGUGAUGAAGGCCUUAGGGUUGUAAAGCUCUUUUAGAUGGGAAGAUAAUGACUGUACCAUCAGAAUAAGCCCCGGCUAAAUUCGUG
rnacentral:rRNA from 1 species